rnacentral:rRNA from 1 species
GAGUUUGAUCAUGGCUCAGGAUAAACGCUGGCGGCGUGCCUAAUGCAUGCAAGUCGAACGGAUUUAGUAGCAAUACUAGGUUAGUGGCAAACGGGUGAGUAACACGUGGGAACCUGCCCUUGUGUGGGGGACAACUCUCUGAAAGGAGAGCUAAUACCGCAUACGCUUAUCGAGAGAUAAGGAAAGCCUCGCAAGAGGCGCAGAAGGAGGGGCCUGCGGCUGAUUAGCUAGUUGGUGGGGUAAAGGCUCACCAAGGCGAUGAUCAGUAGCUGGUCUGAGAGGACAGACAGCCACACUGGGACUGGGAGACGGCCCAGACUCCUACGGGAGGCAGCAGCAAGGAAUUUUCGGCAAUGGGGGGAACCCCUGACCGAGCAACGCCGCGUGGAGGACGAAGACUUUCGGGUUGUAAACUCCUUUUAGGGGGGAAGACAGGCAAGAGGACGGUACCCCCUGAAUAAGCCUCGGCUAACUACGUGCCAGCAGCCGCGGUAAUACGUAGGAGGCGAGCGUUGUCCGGAAUUACUGGGCGUAAAGGGCGAGUAGGCGGGACGUUAAGUAUGCUGUGAAAGACUUCGGCUUAACCGGAGCAAGUCGGCGUAAACUGGCGACCUAGAGACUGUGAGAGGAUAGCAGAAUUCUCGGUGUAGUGGUGAAAUGCGUAGAUAUCGGGAGGAAUACCAGUGGCGAAGGCGGCUAUCUGGCGCAGGACUGACGCUGAGGCGCGAAGGCUAGGGUAGCAAACAGGAUUAGAUACCCUGGUAGUCCUAGCAGUAAACGAUGGCUACUAGGUGUGCGGGGAGCAAGACCCCCUGCGUGCCGGAGUAAACACGAUAAGUAGCCCGCCUGGGGAGUACGGUCGCAAGAUUAAAACUCAAAGGAAUUGACGGGGACCCGCACAAGCAGCGGAGCGUGUGGUUUAAUUCGACGCAACGCGAAGAACCUUACCAGGGCUUGACAUCCUCCGUUCAGUCUAUGAAAGUAGAUGGUCGCAAGACGAGGAGGACAGGUGCUGCAUGGCUGUCGUCAGCUCGUGUCGUGAGAUGUUGGGUUAAGUCCCGCAACGAGCGCAACCCUUAUCCUGAGUUGAAGAUCUGAGGAGACUGCCGGUAGGAAACCGGAGGAAGGUGGGGAUGACGUCAAGUCAGCAUGGCCCUUACGUCCUGGGCUACACACACGCUACAAUGGCCGG